rnacentral:lncRNA from 1 species
UCCUCCACAUUGUAUAAGUACUCAUUGUUUUAAUCUUCUGCUGCCUCAGAGCAACGAACUACAAAUAUAAGUUCUUUUGUCAUCUCUAUGUUUAUGGAUAAGCUGGAUAAGCUUAUGAGUUUAUACUUACCAGUAAAAUGAGCUUUUCCAUAGACUCUAAUGAAUAGAUUGAGUAUAUUAACCUCAGUUGCUUCCUAUACGCCAAAGUUGUGACAAUGACAGAACAAAAUUUAUCCCAAUACGAAAUAAUUCGUGAAGAAAAUAUCCGUCAAAAGAAUGAAGCGAUGAUUGAGUUCGGCUUAAAGUCACGAGUUCAAGUGACGACGAAAAAGUUAGAAAAGUAAGGAAUAAAGGUCGGUGUAACGGUGUCCCAAGAAGGAGUAAUCGUUUGAGAUAUAACGGAGAUGAUCAUACAUCAUUGACCCAAGAAGCUGGAAGAUUGAAGCGGCAUAUUGAAGGUGUUCAUGAAAAAAAUAAGGAAAUACCAAUGUAGAUUCUGCUCUCGCUCUUUUACACAAUCUGGAAGCUUGAAAACCCAUAUUGAAGGUGUUCAUGAAAAAAUAA